rnacentral:rRNA from 1 species
UGGGGAAUAUUGCACAAUGGGGGAAACCCUGAUGCAGCGACGCCGCGUGGAGGAAGAAGGUCUUCGGAUUGUAAACUCCUGUUGUUGGGGAAGAUAAUGACGGUACCCAACAAGGAAGUGACGGCUAACUACGUGCCAGCAGCCGCGGUAAAACGUAGGUCACAAGCGUUGUCCGGAAUUACUGGGUGUAAAGGGAGCGCAGGCGGGAAGACAAGUUGGAAGUGAAAUCUAUGGGCUCAACCCAUAAACUGCUUUCAAAACUGUUUUUCUUGAGUAGUGCAGAGGUAGGCGGAAUUCCCGGUGUAGCGGUGGAAUGCGUAGAUAUCGGGAGGAACACCAGUGGCGAAGGCGGCCUACUGGGCACCAACUGACGCUGAGGCUCGAAAGUGUGGGUAGCAAACAGGAUUAGAUACCCUGGUAGUCCACACCGUAAACGAUGAUUACUAGGUGUUGGAGGAUUGACCCCUUCAGUGCCGCAGUUAACACAAUAAGUAAUCCACCUGGGGAGUACGACCGCAAGGUUGAAACUCAAAGGAAUUGACGGGGGCCCGCACAAGCAGUGGAGUAUGUGGUUUAAUUCGACGCAACGCGAAGAACCUUACCAAGUCUUGACAUCCCUUGACAGGCAUAGAAAUAUGUUUUCUCUUCGGAGCAAGGAGACAGGUGGUGCAUGGUUGUCGUCAGCUCGUGUCGUGAGAUGUUGGGUUAAGUCCCGCAACGAGCGCAACCCUUAUGGUCAGUUACUACGCAAGAGGACUCUGGCCAGACUGCCGUUGACAAAACGGAGGAAGGUGGGGAUAACGUCAAAUCAUCAUGCCCUUUAUGACUUGGGCUACACACGUACUACAAUGGCGUUAAACAAAGAGAAGCAAGACCGCGAGGUGGAGCAAAACUCAGAAACAACGUCCCAGUUCGGACUGCAGGCUGCAACUCGCCUGCACGAAGUCGGAAUUGCUAGUAAUCGUGGAUCAGCAUGCCACGGUGAAUACGUUCCC